AAUGCACAUCUAGGCUAAGAAACAAACUAUACGAAGAGCAUUCAAAGAAGAAAUAAAAGCCAAGAAACCUAGCAGCAGCAGCACAACACAUCAGAAGGCACACUAAAGCGUCCCAGAGAGCUAAUAUUGAGUUAUCAUCUCCAUGAAGAAAGAACAAAACUUAUACAGA